GUCUACAGCCAUACCACCCUGAAUGCACUCAAUCUCAUCUAAUCUCAGAAGCUAAGCAGGAUUGGGUGUGGUUAGUACUUGGAUGGGAGACCACUGGGGAAUACUAGGUGCUGUAGCUU
rnacentral:rRNA from 1 species